GACGAACGCUGGCGGCGUGCUUAACACAUGCAAGUCGAACGGAAAGGCCCUGCUUUUGUGGGGUGCUCGAGUGGCGAACGGGUGAGUAACACGUGAGUAACCUGCCCUUGACUUUGGGAUAACUUCAGGAAACUGGGGCUAAUACGGGAUAGGAGCUCCUGCUGCAUGGUGGGGGUUGGAAAGUUUCGGCGGUUGGGGAUGGACUCGCGGCUUAUCAGCUUGUUGGUGGGGUAGUGGCUUACCAAGGCUUUGACGGGUAGCCGGCCUGAGAGGGUGACCGGCCACAUUGGGACUGAGAUACGGUCCAGACUCCUACGGGAGGCAGCAGUGGGGAAUAUUGCACAAUGGGCGGAAGCCUGAUGCAGCAACGCCGCGUGCGGGAUGACGGCCUUCGGGUUGUAAACCGUUUUCGCCUGUGACGAAGCGUGAGUGACGGUAAUGGGUAAAGAAGCACCGGCUAACUACGUG
rnacentral:rRNA from 1 species